rnacentral:rRNA from 1 species
ACUAAGCGCACAUGGUGGAUGCCUAGGCAGUAAGAGGCGAUGAAGGACGUAGUAGUCUGCGAUAAGCCCCGGUUAGCUGACAAACAAGCUUACCCGGGGAUUUCCGAAUGGGGAAACCCACUCAGCUUGCUGAGUAUCCUGCACUGAAUACAUAGGUGCAGGAGGCGAACGCGGUGAACUGAAACAUCUAAGUAGCCGCAGGAACAGAAAUCAACCGAGAUUCCCUAAGUAGCGGCGAGCGAACGGGGACCAGCCCAGUUGCCAUCAAUCAAACAACUCUAGUAGAACGAUCUGGAAAGUUCGGCCAUAGACGGUGAUAGCCCCGUAUAUAAAAGAUGAGUUUGAGGAGCAACAAAGAGUAGGUCGGGGCACGAGAAACCUUGACUGAACAUGGGGGGACCAUCCUCCAAGGCUAAAUACUCCUUACUGACCGAUAGUGAACWAGUACCGUGAGGGAAAGGCGAAAAGAACCCCGGAGAGGGGAGUGAAAUAGAACCUGAAACCGUGUGCGUACAAGCAGUGGGAGCCCUUCGGGGUGACUGCGUACCUUUUGUAUAAUGGGUCAGCGAGUUGUUUUCAGUUGCAAGCUUAACCAAUUAGGGGAGGCGUAGGGAAACCGAGUCUGAAUAGGGCGAUUUAGUAGCUGGGAGCAGACCCGAAACCGGACGAUCUAUCCAUGGCCAGGGUGAAGGCAGGGUAAUACCUGCUGGAGGCCCGAACCGGGUAAUGUUGAAAAAUUAUCGGAUGAGCUGUGGCUAGGAGUGAAAGGCUAAUCAAGUCCGGAGAUAGCUGGUUCUCCUCGAAAGCUAUUUAGGUAGCGCCUCAUGUUUAACUCUGGGGGGUAGAGCACUGUUUCGGCUAGGGGGCCAUCCCGGCUUACCAAACCGAUGCAAACUCCGAAUACCCAGAAGUUCAAUCAYGGGAGACACACGGCGGGUGCUAACGUCCGUCGUGGAAAGGGAAACAACCCAGACCGCCAGCUAAGGUCCCAAAGUUAYAGCUAAGUGGGAAACGAAGUGGGAAGGYAYAGACAGCCAGGAGGUUGGCUUAGAAGCAGCMACCCUUUAAAGAAAGCGUAAUAGCUCACUGGUCUARUCGGCCYGCGCGGAAGAUUUAACGGGGCUYAAGCUWURYACCGAAGCUGCGGAUGCWUAKNNAUUUAUSKAUNGNCAUGGUAGAGGAGCGUUCUGUAAGCCUGUGAAGGUGUGUYGYGAGGCAYGCUGGAGGUAUCAGAAGUGCGAAUGCUGACAUGAGUAACGAUAAUGCGGGUGAAAAACCCGCACGCCGAAAACCCAAGGRUUCCUGCGCAACGUUAAUCGGCGCAGGGUGAGUCGGCCCCUAAGGCGAGACCGAAAGGUGUAGUCGAUGGGAAACUGGUUAAWAUUCCAGUACUUUGURUUACUGCGAUGAGGGGACGGAGAAGGCUARAUCUACCGGGCGUUGGUUGUCCCGGGGAAAGUAUGUAGGCAGAGAGCUUAGGCAAAUCCGGGCUCUUGUUAAUGCCGAGAUACGAUGACGACCGGUCUUUGUACCGGAAAGUGGUUGGUGCCAUGCUUCCAGGAAAAGCCUCUAAGCUUCAGGUAACACAGAACCGUACCGCAAACCAACACAGGUGGGUAGGGAGAGAAUCCUAAGGCGCUUGAGAAAACUCUGGUGAAGGAACUAGGCAAAUUGGUACCGUAACUUCGGGAGAAGGUACGCCUCUGCUGGUGAUGAGACUUGCUCUCUGAGCUGGUGGGGGUCGAAGUGACCAGGUGGCUGCGACUGUUUACUAAAAACACAGCACUCUGCAAACACGAAAGUGGACGUAUAGGGUGUGACGCCUGCCCGGUGCCGGAAGGUUAAUUGAUGGGGUUAGCUUCGGCGAAGCCCUUGAUCGAAGCCCCGGUAAACGGCGGCCGUAACUAUAGAUUGUUGUAGUUACGCAAAUAAAUUUGGCUAUAUGCUGGAAACUCCGGUGUAUCCGCUGGUACUCGCUCGAUAGACUGAGCAGUGACAAUCCAUGCGGUGCGGACAAUCAGCAGGAAAGGCUUCUGGUAUGACUUCAUUAAACGUUAAAGAAAUUCCUGACAAAAUUGGCUAUUACCUCGCAGGUUUUGCCGAUGGUGAAGGGAGUUUCAAUUUGUCUUUUCGAAAACGCAAAGACUAUUCCAUGCCAUGGAAAGUAUCGUUGUGUUUCAACGUAUCGCAAAAGGACAAAGUCAUUCUGGCUUUGUACAAGCGACACCUGAAAUGUGGCACUUUGCGAGGAAGAGAUGACGGCGUUUGGUAUUAUGAAGUCAAUAAUUUCACCGCGAUUCAGGAAAACGUCAUUCCGUUCUUUAGAAAGUUUGGCUUUCUUUCCGCUAAGAAGAAACGUGAUUUUGCGAAAUUCAUGCAAAUCGCGAAUCUGAUAGCAGAUGGGGAGCAUCUGAAGAAAAGUGGAAUAAGACGAAUUCUUGAUAUCAGAAAGACAAUGAACGACGGCGGAGUCGGUCGUAGAAAAUACGGCGACGCUGAAAUUCUGCGUUUGGUGAAAACAGAAGAAUCCUCAGAGACUAUACGCCAAACUUGAUUUAGACAUUAACCGGAUGUCGUCUGUUUAAAUCAGGAUGAGAUAGUCCGAUCUGCAUAGCGAUAUGCAGGGUUCAAGGUUCGCUAUGACUUGAACCUAACCGAUGUAAUUUGUUGGGGAUAACACAGGAUGAACGGUCCUAAGGUAGCGAAAUUCCUUGUCGGGUAAGUUCCGACCUGCACGAAUGGCGUAACGAUGGCCACACUGUCUCCACCAGAGACUCAGUGAAAUUGAAAUCGCUGUUAAGAUGCAGCGUACCCGCGGCAAGACGGAAAGACCCCGUGCACCU